rnacentral:lncRNA from 1 species
UUAGUUCGUUAGAUGUUAUCUAUUACCCAUAUAUAUAGGAUAUAUACUUCUAAAACAAUAAGAUUGUCAAUUAGAAGAUCUUCCAAAAUUUUCAUAACUCCAUAAGAUGUAGUUAGAAAGAAAGACAAAUCUUAAGCAUGUUAAAGAUUUGAGGUUGUGUGCUAAUAAGCAAUAUUUGUUUGAUAACAAUCUUGUGGGAUAUCCUUAAAUUAACUUUUGGAUAUCG